UUGGUCAGAUGAAGAUAAUGAUGUAAGUAUAUAAAAUAUCCGUAUUAUUGUUAAUAAUAUUAGGAGAGCCCUACAUGGUGGAGCUAGGUCCCCUCCUCAAGGACUUUCUGCCCAGCUGUGAGGAGUGUGGUCAACAGACAGCCUCCAGCAGCCAGCUCUUUGGAGCUGAUCUCAGCUGCUGAGAGCCGCUUGCCUGAGGUCACACGUUUUCCGGGAUGGCCUGCGUUCAGUGACUGAGCAAGGGGGAUAAAAAGGCCAGCCACCUCAGCCAACACAGGACACUGCUGACUGGAAACCCUCGCUCCACAGUUCCCCGCUGGGUCCACGGAGGCUUGCCAGGUGAACUCAGCAACGUGCCAGUGAGCACAACUCAUCAGAUGGAGCGCAGUGGAUUUCAGCCCCUCUUGUUCCUCUGGACACUGCACAAUGACUCAGCAGCCCCCCUGAGAUUGCCAUGGCUGAAUGUUCCUUUUCAAGAAGUUAAACCCCAGGAUGAGUCCCUGACCUCUGCAAAUUAAGGUCCUUUACACCCAGUCUCAUCUACUAAAGAGAAGAAAUCCCAGUGAGAUCCAUGAAAUGAAUGAAGCAAGCUCCAUGACCACAGGCUAAUUAAAAGAUCUGUCUGCCCACUUCACUCUCCAUGCUUAACUGCGGCAGUAAAUCUCCGCAAAAGAAUCAAGCUGAGUGCAUGGCUGUUGACCUCGCCCUACAUUUGACUUUUUCAAGACAUCUGCCAGAGUAAGAUUUAAGCAUUUUAACAAUCGAGUUCAGGUAAAGCUGUAUUAUUAUCUUUAUCAGGGAAAAGAAUUCAUUCAAGUAUUUGGGUAUCAACUCUGCUAAGCCUGAAAUAGCACGGUGCAUACAAAAAAAGAAGAAAAUUAAAAGUACUGCCUUCUGAUAUCGUCUAAUUGAGGAGCUAUGAUCACAGAAUGAUGAUAGAGGCCACAUAUGUUUAAAGAACUCUCCUGGGAGUCAGGAGGUGUGGGUUACGGGCAGGUCACCUAAGUCCCAUGUCUUGGUGUCCCCACCUGUAACAAUAGAGGUAGUGAUGAUUACGUCACCUACUUCUAAGGUUGUCAUGCAGAUCAAGUCAAACUGCAGGGACAAGCACUUUGCAAUCUAUGAUGCACUAUAAAAAUAAAGGGAAU
rnacentral:lncRNA from 1 species